rnacentral:rRNA from 1 species
UACGGAGGGUGCAAGCGUUGUCCGGAUUUACUGGGCGUAAAGGGCGCGUAGGCGGCGUGGUAAGUCACUUGUGAAAUCUCUGAGCUUAACUCAGAACGGUCAAGUGAUACUGCUGUGCUAGAGUGCGGAAGGGGCAAUCGGAAUUCUUGGUGUAGCGGUGAAAUGCGUAGAUAUCAAGAGGAACACCUGAGGUGAAGACGGGUUGCUGGGCCGACACUGACGCUGAUGCGCGAAAGCCAGGGGAGCAAACGGG